rnacentral:ncRNA from 1 species
AUCCGACAAUAGCAAAGCCGGCUUAAGCCGGCGGCGCAAAGCUGAGGGGCCAAACUGGCCUGCCAGGCUGCCGAA